GCCGGGUGUCGAGGAAGGUCAUAAGUGAUAAAUAAAACAAAGAUCUAUAUACGAUAUCAUGCUCUCGAUACUCCCUAGGUGGAGAUUAACUACAAUCAAGCUUAGAUAAAAGAAACAUAACAAAAUAAAUUAAUAACAGGAAGGGGCAGAAAGCUACUACAAUUUGGCAUAUAAACCUAACAGCCACACCUAACACCAGAAAGUGUUCAAAGCUAAUGUACAGGGAAUCAAUGAUUCAUAAAAAAAAAAAAGCAAAAUCGGAAGCAAAUGUCAUCGCCUAAAAAAACUCAUGAUAUUCACGUCCAUGCUUAUGAAGACAACAUAAUUU
rnacentral:misc_RNA from 1 species